rnacentral:rRNA from 1 species
CCCAGACUCCUACGGGAGGCAGCAGUGAGGAAUAUUGGUCAAUGGGCUUACGCCUGAACCAGCCAAGUCGCGUGAGGGAAGACGGCCCUACGGGUUGUAAACCUCUUUUGUCAGGGAGCAAGGUGCAGGUCGGGACCUGCUGUGAGAGUACCUGAAGAAAAAGCAUCGGCUAACUCCGUGCCAGCAGCCGCGGUAAUACGGAGGAUGCGAGCGUUAUCCGGAUUUAUUGGGUUUAAAGGGUGCGUAGGCGGAAUGCCAAGUCAGGGGUAAAAUCGCGGGGCUCAACCUCGCUCCGCCGUUGAAACUGGCGUUCUUGAGUGGGCGAGAAGUAUGCGGAAUGCGUGGUGUAGCGGUGAAAUGCAUAGAUAUCACGCAGAACUCCGAUUGCGAAGGCAGCAUACCGGCGCCCAACUGACGCUGAAGCACGAAAGCGUGGGUAUCGAACAGGAUUAGAUACCCGAGUAAC